rnacentral:rRNA from 1 species
GACGAACGCUGGCGGCGUGCCUAAUACAUGCAAGUAGAACGCUGAAGGAGGAGCUUGCUCCUCUGGAUGAGUUGCGAACGGGUGAGUAACGCGUAGGUAACCUGCCUGGUAGCGGGGGAUAACUAUUGGAAACGAUAGCUAAUACCGCAUAACAGUAGAUGCUGCAUGACAUUUGCUUAAAAGGUGCAAUUGCAUCACUACCAGAUGGACCUGCGUUGUAUUAGCUAGUUGGUGGGGUAACGGCUCACCAAGGCGACGAUACAUAGCCGACCUGAGAGGGUGAUCGGCCACACUGGGACUGAGACACGGCCCAGACUCCUACGGGAGGCAGCAGUAGGGAAUCUUCGGCAAUGGACGGAAGUCUGACCGAGCAACGCCGCGUGAGUGAAGAAGGUUUUCGGAUCGUAAAGCUCUGUUGUAAGAGAAGAACGAGUGUGAGAGUGGAAAGUUCACACUGUGACGGUAUCUUACCAGAAAGGGACGGCUAACUACGUG